AAGGAGUCUAACAUGCUUGCGAGUAUUUGGGUGUCAAACCCGGAUGCGUAAUGAAAGUGAAUGGAGGUGGGGAGCGCAAGCUGCACCAUCGACCGAUCUGGAUUUUCUAAGAUGGAUUUGAGUAAGAGCACGUAUGUUGGGACCCGAAAGAUGGUGAACUAUGCCUGAAUAGGGCGAAGCCAGAGGAAACUCUGGUGGAGGCUCGUAGCGGUUCUGACGUGCAAAUCGAUCGUCAAACUUGGGUAUAGGGGCGAAAGACUAAUCGAACCAUCUAGUAGCUGGUUCCUGC
rnacentral:misc_RNA from 1 species